rnacentral:misc_RNA from 1 species
AAGUCGUAACAAGGUCUCCGUUGGUGAACCAGCGGAGGGAUCAUUACUGAGUUAUCCAAAAACUCCCAACCCUAUGUGAACUUACCACUGUUGCCUCGGCGAGCUGCGCUACCCUGUAGCUACCUUUGUAGCGACCUGGGAGCGCGUUAUAGGCUCGCCAGAGGACCACUAAACUCUGUUUUAUUUUGUAUCUCUGAAUCUUACAACUGAAAUCAGUUAAAACUUUCAACAACGGAUCUCUUGGUUCUG